rnacentral:lncRNA from 1 species
GGCAAAUGUCAAGCCAUAAGCAAUCUCACUGUUUCUGUACCUCACUUCCUAUUCCUGUAAGUCACUGUACCUUUUUUUGUUCAUAAAUUUGUUCCAACUAUGAGGCACCCCUGGAGUCUCUGUGAAUCUGCUGUGAUUCUGGGGGCUGCCCAAUUUGUGAAUCGUUUACUGCUCAAUUCAACUCCUUUAAAUUUAAUUCAGCUGAAGUUUUUCUUUUAUCAGAUGGUGUCAGAAGCGGGAUCUGAAGUGCAGCUUCUAGCAUCCCCCAGCAGUGCUGAAUGAACACUCAAGGUACCUGCAGGACCCACUUGUGUCCAUUGAUCUCUCAGAGCCACUGGGGAUCAUGGAGUCUUCUUCUGUCAUCCGGCUGGAGUGCAGUGGCGUAAUUUCAGUUCACUGGAAUCUCCACCUCUUGGUUCAAGCAAUUCUCAUGCCUCAGCCUCCGGAGAAACUGGGAUUACAG